CAGUCGCCACGGGAAUACGUAGGUGGCAAGCGUUGUCCGGAAUUAUUGGGCGCAAAGGGCUCGCAGGCGGUUUCUUAAGUCUGAUGUGAAAGCCCCCGGCUCAACCGGGGAGGGUCAUUGGAAACUGGGAAACUUGAGUGCAGAAGAGGAGAGUGGAAUUCCAUGUGUAGCAGUGAAAUGCGUAGAGAUGUGGAGGAACACCAGUGGCGAAGGCGACUCUCUGGUCUGUAACUGACGCUGAGGAGCGAAAGCGUGGGGAGCGAACAGGAUUAGAUACCCGCGUAGUCCCUGUCUCUUAUAC
rnacentral:rRNA from 1 species